rnacentral:rRNA from 1 species
CCUUGACGGAUCGCAGAGGUAGUUCUUCCUUAUCGGAUUGGAAGGGCUGCUGAGCGGUUCCUGGAAAUAGCCCUCCACAAGACCGUACCCUAAACCGACACAGGUGGACUGGUAGAGAAUACCAAGGCGCUUGAGAGAACCACAUUUAAGGAACUCGGCAAAAUACCUCCGUAAGUUCGCGAGAAGGAGGCCCCGUUUGUACGCAAGUAUGGGCGGGGGGCACAAACCAGGGGGUGGCGACUGUUUACUAAAAACACAGGGCUCUGCGAAGCCGUAAGGCGACGUAUAGGGUCUGACGCCUGCCCGGUGCCGGAAGGUUAAAAGGAGAUGUGCAAGCAUUGAAUUGAAGCCCCGGUAAACGGCGGCCGUAACGAUAACGGUCCUAAGGUAGCGAAAUUCCUUGUCGGGUAAGUUCCGACCUGCACGAAUGGCGUAACGACUUCCCCGCUGUCUCAAAUGUGGACUCAGCGAAAUUGAAUUGUCUGUGAAGAUGCAGACUUCCCGCGGUUAGACGGAAAGACCCCAUGCACCUUUACUAUAGCUUCGCACUGGCAUCAGGAUUGUGAUGUGCAGGAUAGGUGGUAGGCAUUGAAACCGGGACGCCAGUUCCGGUGGAGCCAUCCUUGAGAUACCACCCUUCGCACUCUUGAUGUCUAACCGCGGCCCGUUAUCCGGGUCCGGGACCCUGCGUGGUGGGUAGUUUGACUGGGGCGGUCGCCUCCCAAAAAGUAACGGAGGCGCGUGAAGGUUGGCUCAGAGCGGUCGGAAAUCGCUCGUUGAGUGCAAUGGCAGAAGCCAGCCUGACUGCAAGACUGACAAGUCGAGCAGAGACGAAAGUCGGCCAUAGUGAUCCGGUGGUCCCGAGUGGAAGGGCCAUCGCUCAACGGAUAAAAGGUACGCUGGGGAUAACAGGCUGAUGAUGCCCAAGAGUCCAUAUCGACGGCAUCGUUUGGCACCUCGAUGUCGGCUCAUCUCAUCCUGGGGCUGGAGCAGGUCCCAAGGGUACGGCUGUUCGCCGUUUAAAGAGGUACGUGAGCUGGGUUUAGAACGUCGUGAGACAGUUCGGUCCCUAUCUGCCGUGGGUGUAGGAUACUUGGGAGGAGUUGCCCCUAGUACGAGAGGACCGGGGUGAACGUUCCACUGGUGGACCAGUUGUCGUGCCAACGGCAGUGCUGGGUAGCUAUGAACGGACAGGAUAAACGCUGAAGGCAUCUAAGCGUGAAGCCCCCCUCAAAACAAGGUAUCCCUUGAGAGCCGUGGAAGACCACCACGUCGAUAGGCCGGAGAUGUAAGUGCAGUAAUGCAUUCAGUUGACCGGUACUAAUGGCUC